rnacentral:tRNA from 1 species
GGCUCAAUAGUGUAGCUGUUAUCAUGUCUGCUUUAUACUCAGAAGGUCCUUUGUUCGCUCCCUAGGUAGAGCCA